rnacentral:lncRNA from 1 species
GCCUCCCCCGUGCGUCUCUCGCCCCUGUUCUGUCUCGUCCAGCCACCGUGUGGCCUCACCGGACCGCCUCUUGCUUUCCCGACCCCUUGCCGCCCCCAACCCUCUCUCUUUCUUGUUGUUUUGCAGCCGAACCAGCAGACCCACGGAGUGGGUAUCCAGCUGUUCGUGGGCCGUUUUGGGCUGUUUCCCGGCCCCGAACCCGAGCCGUGCUUUGGGAACAAUCGUUCCUCACGUCGCCGCCGUCGGAUUGAUCCGAUUUGCGCGCGAUUUGGUGAGUAAUCUCACUAAUCUUGGAUUAGUUGGCUAAUUAUGCUUAAGGUUGGUUUAGAUUUAAUUAAUUAUGUUUAGGUUGUUAGAUUAGAAUAAAUUAGCAAUUAUUAGUCAAUUGUGAUGUGAUUUAGAUAAAUUGAUUGUGCAAUUAGCAAGUAGACGUGGUCUACUAAUUAUUGGAAGUGCUUCGGGAAUUUUCCUGACCCUCAGUGGGCUCCAAUUAGGCUUUUCGUGCCUAAGUGGAUUUUUUUGUAUUUAAAUAUUAAUUUUCGGAAUUAAAUUAAAUAAUUAUUUAUUUUCCGAAAAUUCAACUGAGAUGGCUCGGGACCGGAAUAUUGUGCUGAUGACCGUGGUGAAGUCCGUUUAGUUAAUCGCGCUUUAUUUUGAGCUAAAUUGAAUUUUUAAUAUUAAUUAUUUAAUUUUCGAAAUUAAUAAAUAAAUUAAUUAUUUUUCGGAAAUUAAGAUUUUGAUGGCCGAUGACCGAAAUCUCGUGCCGAUCGUCGUGGCGCAGUCCGUUUAUUUAUUUGAGCUCUACGUUGUAUGGAAUUGAAUAAAUUGUGAUAUUUUAGGGAUUUACCCUAAAUUGAUUUGGAGUCGAUUGAGAUUGAAUUAUCGAUUGGUGAAUGGCCAAGUAUGUUUAUUCAGCAUUUAUAAUGCUUUGUUGAGUUAAUUUAAUUAUUUGAUUGAGUAUUGAUUGGUGAAUGGCCAAGUAUGUUUAUUCAGCAUUUAUAAUGCUUUGUUGACUUGAUUUAAUUAUUUGAUUGAGAAAUCGUUGGGCAUUGGUUGUCGAUAUUGAAAGUAAAUUGGUAACCACUGCAAAGAGGACACGUGGGCUUGGUGAAUUGGAAUGUUACCUGGAAAAUGCACGUGAGUUCAGUGGUUGAAUAUGUCACAUUGGCGAAAAGGUCGCCUGAGAGAAUGCACGUGGCUCGGAGACUCGGUAUGUCGUCCUGGAGAAUGCACGUGGCUUGGUGACAGGAUUUGGCAUCUAAAAGGACACGUGGCUCGGUGAUCUGAUGCGUCACUUUAGUAAGCGAGUACCUUAGAGAAUGCACGUGGGUCCAGCAUUCCGGAAUGGCAUCUAAAAGGGCACGUGGCUCGGUGAAUUGAUGCAUCACCUUGGUGAGAUAGCACCUUAGAGAAUGCACGUGGGCCCAGGCAUCGUAAAAAGGACACGUGGCUCGGUGGCUUGAUGUACCACCUUGGCAAAGAGGUCGCCUUAGAGAAUGCACGUGGGCCCAGGCAUCCUAAAAAGGACACGUGGCUCGGUGGCUUGAUGUAACGUGGACUCGGAGACUUGGAAGGUCAUCCUGGAGAAUGCACGUGGCCUAGCUUUUAAAUAUCCCACAGUGGGAAUUGAUUUGUUUGGCAUGUAAUCGACUAGGUCGAUGCUUUGAUUUGAUGUUGUGAAUUGAUUGACUGAAUGGAAAUGACCGUGAGUGGUCUUGUUGGAAUAUAAUCGACUAGGUCGAUUUGAUCGAUGCUUCGAUCGGUGAUAUGACUGCUUGGGUGCCUAUUGUGAAUUGUACUGACUUGCAGGUGGGAUCAGAGGCCAAGGUAAGUCCUCUGCCCUGUGCGUGUUUAGGCAGCCUUUAGUAUAAUAGUUUACUAAUUGGGCUUAGUGGGGUAGAACUCGCUGAGACGUAGUCUCAUCCCAGUUUGGGGAAAAACCAUUUCAGGACCCCGACGAGAAGCUGAGGAGGAAUCUAAGAGAACUCGGAGGUGAAACUUAAAGAGAAAGAUUUUUGGAAGAAGAAGAUAAUCCUGAGAGGGACCUUAAGUAUGGCCUGGGUGGACUAAGAGUCUAUCUUCUUUUGAGAAUUUCUUUUGAUGUGAAUAGUUUUGAAAUGGUUUGUGUUUUGUAUAAAAGUUUGGUUAUAAAUUUCAAUAUGAAAAAUAUGGCCCUGUUUUUCUAUCCCAUUGAUUUAUUGUCUGGGGAUUUUAACUGCUUCCGCAUGUGCAUAAUAAAUGAAAGGGUCGGCGAUACAUUAUCCUAGGAUAUCGCAUUAUAAAAUCGACCAAAUUAGAAGGAUGUGUGCGUGCCCGAGGAUCGGGGCGUGACAGUUUUGGUACCCUGUGUCCGUAUUUGGAUCCUCGAGAUUUUCACGACAAGCGAGAGUUGCCAAUAAGUCAAGUGGGUUCAUAGUGGCUCGAAGAAAAUCGACCACAAGUCAAUUGCCCUGAAAAGUUCUGAAAACUACCCGAUAGUCUAGGUCACGCUAAAAACGCGUCGGAUGAAAAUUAACCACCAAUUCAAGUCCGAUUUCAGAAAUCAAAAGUUCGGUGAUGUCACAAGCUAUUUUAGGAACGUCAACUCUGUCUUAGAAGAUUUUUCGGAGAUUCAGGAAUUUUUACGGAAAACUGUUUCGGACGUCGCGGAAAUUUGGCGGAAAUUCAGAUUGGCUAAAUUGAUGGAAAAUUGGGCUUUCGGGUUGAGCCUUUAUGUGUCGGGGAUUUAUAGAAAAUCACUUGGGAUUUUUCUACAUUGAGAUUGGACCUCAAUUUGGGAAAUUGAGCAAGAAAAUUUAGUUUAUUUGAGUGAAAUUCGAAAUUGGAAAAAAGGGCAGAAAUUGGGGCUUCAAAUUGGAUAAUUUAGAUAAAUAUUAGUGCAAGAAAGUAUUGGGAGCAUUAGAUAUUUGUGUGGGCACUAAGGGGACCAAGCCUUAAUUGAAGGUGGAUAUUUUUGUUGACUUUAAUUCUCUCCCCCCUCAAUCUUCGGCCGCACGCUUCAUUGGCCUAUCCUUUGCUCAAGCACCACCCCCUCCUUCGGACGUUUACGGCCGCACAAUCACCACAGCUGAAGAAGACAAGAAACCCACGCCAUCUGCUCUCUUUGUUCGUGCGCUAACCCUCACUGAACGAAGAAAAAUCACUCAACAGCCCCGCAAGCCCACUCGAACACCAACCCUCAGCUCCACGCAUCUUCAGCUCUACCGUUUGCUGCCAAGUUUGGUCAACCAUGGGGCACCUCCACCAGUUUGUUGACCCAACAAACGCUCAAAGAAGCCCACCGAAGUGAAGCCGCACGCGUACGACGCUAGGCCACCGAAGACCCCGCAAUAGCUCUCUCCAUCUCUGCCACAAUUUCUUCUUGCAACUGCUGCUACGUCCCAUCUACUCGACCAUCAACGAAGACCACCCAUCUUCGUGUCUUCGUCCACCGAGUCAGUCAAGUGAGGCCAGCGAACUCUCCUCCAUUCGUGUCUUCUGCCAGGCGUUGUCCACUUCUUCGAUCAGCAGACGCCAGUUUUGUUGACCUGCUCCUCACGGGAUUGAAGUCGGUGCACGUCCUCUCUCUUGUGCGCCAACCCCACCGAAUGAAACAGCUUGCGUCUCCACACGUCCAGCACAGCGGAAGUUCAUUUCCACAGAAGACUCAAGAAUCCCUCGUGCUGCCACUUGCCAUAUUCGCGGCCAACUCCACGCGUCUCCAGCAAACUUCGGUUCCUCGAUCAACAUUAGCAAUCACCGAAGCCUCCUGUUGACUGAACAGCUUUGCCCCGCUGCCACUUGGCUGCACCUGCGUUUGGUUCGGUCAACAAGCGGACGCUGAAGACCACCGAGGAAGCCCGUGUCCGUCCGCGAGAGAUUGUUCCCAACUUUGGUCGGCCACCGAAGCCAGCGAAAUCGAAGCUGCACGUGUGUUCCCCAGCUCCGUUUUUUGCUUCAGUCUUGCCGCGCCAGCCUCAAACGAAGGAGCUCCCUUCGUCCAUGCCUUCAGUAAGCAACCAGCAGGCCCACUCAAAGACAUCAUUCGGCCCAACUAAAGUCAAGCCCAGCCAAGCUCCAAAGCCCAACAAAGCCAGCAGUUUCCAGCCCAAGUGAACAGCAGUUUGGCCCACGUUUCCAACCCAAGCAGAAUUAAGUCUAGAUCAAGUUCAGCCCAAGAUUCCAACAGUAAAGCCCAGCCUUGCUGAAGUUUGUAGGGCCAAGUCUUAGGCCCGGUCCAAGCCCGUUUUAGGCCGCCAUUGCGUCGCCGUCGCGAUGAUUCGGUCCCCGUUUUUAAUCAAGUGAGUUUUACUCACUAAUGCUUUAUUAGUUUGCUAAUUAUGCCUUAGGGUUGGUUAGAUUUAAUUACAUGCACUUAGGUGGUUAGAUUAGGUUAGAACAAUUAAUUUAGUGACUUAAUGAUGCAUGUUAGGUGGUUAGACCUAGCUAUUAGCAAGUAGAAAUGUUUGGUUAUUUAUUGAAUGCAUCUCGGGAUUUUUCCCGACCAGUUUCGGGCUCCAAUAAGGCAAUAUGGGCCUAAAUUGGAUUUUUAAUAUUUAUUUAUUUAUUUUUCGAAAUUAAUUAUUUAAUUAAUUAUUUUUCCGGAAAUUCAACCGGGAUGGCCGGUGACCGGAAUUUUCGUGCUGAUUGUCGUGGUGCAGUCUGUUUAUUUAAUUGAGCUUCAAUUUUUAUGGAAUUGAUUUAAAUUGUGAAAUUUGAGGAAUUGUCCCAAAUUGUUUGUUAUUGAGUAUUUGAUUGGUAAUGGCCGAGCAUGGAUAUAUAGCGCCAGUACGUUGAUGGGCUAUAUAGUAGGGAGAAUGGUGAGAGCUAACUGAGAACAUUAUUGGUUGAGACCAAUCAGGUACGAUAUUAUUGGACAUACGUGGUUCGGUGAUUGGAAGUAUCACUGGUGAAAACGGCGCCUUAAAGAACGCACGUAAAUGACUUAUAGACAAACGUGGUUCGGUGAUUAUGGAAAUAUCACUAGUGAAAACGACGCCUUCAAGAACUCACGAUGUUGUCUAUAGCCGAUGUCACCUUGGCGAAAACGGCGCCCUAGAAAGGACACAUGGUUCGGUGAUCGAGGAUAUCACUGGUGAAAAUGGCGCCUUAAAGAACGCAUGGUGUCGGUGAUCGGUAUGUCAUUGGCGAAAACGACGCCCGAGAAACACAUGUGAUUUGGUGAAUGAGUACACCACUGGGAAAUCGUGGUAUGAGUGAGAAUGACCUAGAGAGGGUUUGACUGACGUGUAAUCGACUUAGUCGAUUGGCCAGUGCUUGAUCAGAUGUCGUGAAUUGUUUGAAUAUUUGUGUUUAACCUUAAUUUGCAGGUGGAAUCUGAGGUCAAGGUAAGUCUUCUAACGUGUGUCGUGCUUAGGCAACCGUAUGGCGUAUUAGUUUACUAAUCGAGUCGUAGGGGGUAGGACUUGCUGAGACGUGGUCUCAUUGGUUAUUGAAUAACCAUUUCAGGACCUUGAGGAAAAGCUGAGGAGGAAGAACCUGAAGGGGCUACUGGUGCGGACAUCCAGAGAAGGAUCUUGAGUAUGACCUAGAUGUGGAUUAAAAUCUCAUCCCUUUUGUGAACCCUAUCUUAGUGUAGAUAGGUGUGAGACUUUUAUGCUGUAAAUAGUAUUGUAAAUAUACUAUAAGUUGUGCUGUUAAUAAAAGUGUGGUUGUGAAUUUCAAUAUGAAAAAUAUGGCCUGCUUUUCUAUCCCAUUGUUUUAUUGUCUGGGGAUUUAUAACUGCUUCCGCAUGCGUAAUAAAAUAAAAGGGUCGGCGAUAAUUAGUCCUGGGAUAUCGCACUUUAAUAAUCGACUAGAGAGAAGGAUGGGCACGUCCCCGAGGAUCGGGGCGUGACACCCGCAGCCAUAUUAUUGGAGUCCAUAGAAAGGGCAGCAUGUCAUAUGAAAAGCAAAUAACCACUACUUUCCCAUCAACUUGGGAAAAGAAAAGGAGAUUCCCCCAUAAUAUAGUUUACACAGUCAGAAGUAAGAGUCGUGUGACAUAAUAAACCUCACCAAAACCCUUCUUGGCCUGCUGGGUAGCGAUUAUGUCUAAACAAAGAACCUCACUAAGGGUCAUAGUGGGAAAAAAGAACCAAACGAACUUAGAUCUACCAAGUGAUGUAGCUGCUGCCUUCGAGAAUAUCCGGAACUAGUAAUUUUCUAAUUGGCGUUACUCUCAAAUAUUCAAAUUUCUCCAGUUUGCUGACAAAAAUCAACCCCAUCCAUGUGCAGAAUAGAAAAUUCAGUCGACAUUUGCUCACUAAUUUCAAUUUUCUAGAAGAGAAAUUUUUCUCUUAAUCAAAUGGUCAUAGAAGAUCCUCUCAUUCACAUGUGGGGAAACUGAUCGAUCUUUUUGUCUUGGCUACUUCAGUAGUUAUGCCAGGAUCGUUGUAGCUAUUGUAAAAAAUGAUAUAAUAAGAACACCUUGGCCACAGUGGGAGGAUCCUAGUUGAUGCUGCUAGUUAACUAUUUUGACAGUUAGCAUAGAUGAAGGGACCUCUAUUUUUCUUUUAUUUUUUAAUUUUUGGUCGAAAAAGGUACCUCUAUUAAAUGCAUGCAAAAGUAACAGAAAAAAGCACAAAUUUGUGAAAUGUCUGGAUUUAACAAAGUUUAAUGUAAGAUUACACAAUGGAAUUCAAUCAACAUUAGUGUAGUUAAAAAGAAGCCUCUUACAAGUUACUCAAAAGUUCCAAUGUGCUUAUUCAAUAGCUCAUCCCUUUCAUAGAUAUGGAUUGAAGAGAACAAGUUGCUCCUGUAGUACCAACAAAGUGUAUCUUGCCAAAGGCACAUCCAUGUAAAACAACAUUUGACCAUGGCCUUAGAGGAGCUUGCCCAAAAACAUUUUAUCAGCAAAUGUAAGAAUAAUAGACACAAAGAUCAAAUAAGUAAAAUUGUUUAUUUAAGAAGUUAACAUUAACCACAUUAUUAGCACAGAGACAUAGAGAGAGGAAACGUGUGGUGAGACACUAGAAAGAAUAAACAAAAGCUGUAGCUUAGACACAACCAAUGCAGUUAAAUAAACUUUUCUGAACAAAAUCCAUGCAUAAUCUCGCUACUCACAAGAUUGCAUAAGGGAAAACAAUGGUAGGUAGUUAAACCCCACAAUCUUAGGUAACCAAUCCUCUCAUUGAGUUUCUGUAGAGCCUAACAUAAGCUCCAUAAUCUACAAAAAGAUGUUUAGACAGCUUACCACCAAAAGAUGACUUUGAUGUUAAUGAAAAGUAGACCACUAUGAAAAUAGACACUGGGAACCGACAACAUAGAUUAGUAUUGCUUGUCCAAAUACUCAAUGAAAGACACUCAUAAAACAAUAAUAGAAUGACAAAUUCCUCAUCUAGCAAGAUAAAGUAAAUUAAGCAAUUAAACAGCAUAAAUUAUGUGGGAAGCACGCUUAAGAAAAAGUUUGCCCAGUAGGCAACUUUAAGUUGCUCACAUAGAUCCCCAACCAUUAUACCUAAAAACACUUGAAGACUCUGCAGAAAUGGAUGAAGAAAGCUUAUAGUUAUUGCUGGAGAAGCAAAAUUUCAAUUUUAAGAAUGUGAAUACUUGAAAAUUGCAACUAUAACCAUGGGCAUCAAAUAUGGAGUAAAGCAAAAUGUAAUCUUUGAUUGCACAACAUCAGGUAAUUCCUGCUCAAUCUCUAGAACUACAGGAAACAAAGAUGAUACAAAAGGGAGCAACCAGGUAAUUGCAUUUGCCUUAUUGAAUUCAUCAAUGAGUCAGAGUCAUCAAACUCCCAGACCCAACUCAAAACAUUGAAGGAAAAAGAUAAAGGAAAGGACAUGUCAUCGGCACAACAAAUAAGAAUCCAAUAAUGCAAAUGCCUUGUCAUGCAAAUUGCAACAUCUUCCAUAACUAUGUUUGGUAGUUGAAGAUGGGAGAGAAUGAACAAAAAGCAAACAAACAGAGAAGAAAAAUGUAAUUUUACUCUCUUUUGGAGAUGAACAUUGAAGAGAGAUGAUGUAGAGGAAAAUUGAGUGAGUCGAUUGUGGAAACUACCUCUUGUCAAACCAAAUUUUGUAUGCCUUGUCAGUAUACCUGAUAGCAUUUAAACUUCUUUUAUGGAUCAAAGGGAAUGCUUGUAUUCUUUCCUUUUCUCUCCAUGAUAACCCAUAAGUAGUUUCAGUAUUGACAAUUUUGGGAAUUGAACAAGGCAAGUCAGUCAAUUAAAUCUUCUAAUCAAUCAAAGUAUUUGGAGACUCAAGUGCAUGCAAAUUGGCUGCAAAAAGAUGUUAUCCAAUUGGCUCGAUGCUAUAGACUUACUAUCAUCAACAAUCUUUGCCAAUCAGAUGAUAAAUACUAAUCCAUCUCUGUUGAACCUUGGGCACUUGCGUAUGGUGAAUUCACAAGAUUUUGGCACAUCCAACACGCUCUCUAGUGAUUCACAUUGAUAGAAACCCAAUGUCUUCAGAUUCUGUAUAUUUGUACCUUCCUUGAUAAAAUUUAUAGGUAUCCAGUUUGUCCUGUAUAGGAGAUAAAUCAUAGAGCAGAAGUCAUCAAGCCUGCGAAGUCUCAAAAAUGCAGCGUCAAGUUAGUCCAGUCUACUGCUUCACAUCAAAUGCAACUCGAUUAGAACUAAAAGCACAUAACUAGACAAGAAUAAAAUGGAAGGAUCCCAAGAAAGAAAAGUGAAUUAGACUUAUUAGGAGAGAGAUGAGCCCACGAUCCUUGAGGAAAACAAAAGAGCACCUCAUGUAGCAUAUAUGUCAUGAUAUAAAUGAGAAAUCACACUAUGCUUGAUGUCACAAAACUAAAACGAUCAACAUCCCUUGAUGCUAUUGAAGAGGCUCGAGACCAGUUUAAUACACUUCCUAUAAGCUACUUCAACAAUUGAAAAGUAAUUCAAGCAAUGCUACCGUUUGUUACCUUCUUUGAUACAUAUGUAGUUUAUCCAAUACUGUGUAUCCAAAGUUAAACAAUUCCAAAUCAAGGAAAAGUCAUGUCUAGCAUUUAAUAGUCUGCCUUGAAGGUUAUUACAUAGUCUCCAUAUUAAAUGCUUCAUAGAAAUUUUUUUAGCAAAGCAUUCAUAAUGGCCAUGCAAUUUCCAAGAGUAGUUUAUAGUUAGUGUGCUAUGGAAAAGAGAGUACUUUUUGUUACCAUAUAAAAAAAAAAAUUAUUACCUUGUCCUCGCUGACACAAACACACUGCCUAAAACUUCAACACCAUCUAAUUCAGUAAAAAACUGCACCAAUGAAUAACAUACCAUUAGUGAGUCAUACUAUCACACGACCACUUUAUAAGUGCCAUUGAAUGCAAGAAACUAACUGAUUGAUGACAUGGUCAGUGACCCCCGUAUUAUCAUGUCCUCUCUUCAACACAAUGGAAUCAAAUUCUUGAAAAAAGAGAAGGCAAGGUGCUACAGCAGCUACCUUUGAGAAUAUAUCCAAACCUAUAAUUUUAUAAUUGCUGUUACUCUCAAAUAUUCAAAACUUCUCUAGUUUGUUAACAAAAUCAACGCCAUCAAUGUGUAGAACAGAUGAUCUAGUAGACAUUUGAUCAUCGAUUUCAAAUUUUUUGUAGAGAAAAACUUCAAAUAUCUUACAUCUUAAUCUUCAUUGAGGAUUCUUUCAUUCAUGCGUGAGAUAACUCCAUAAGAAUUUUGACUUGGCCUCUUCAUUGGUUAUGGGAGAAUCCUCAUUGUUGUUGUUUAAAAUAAUAUAAUUAGAACAUCUUGACUGCAGUGGUAGGAUCCUCAUUGCUACUGCUAGUUAUCCUAUUUCAACUGAUGGCAUAGAUGAAGGGACCUCUAUUAAAUGCAUACAAAAGCAAAAGAAGAAAGCACAAAAUUGUGAAAUAUGGAAAUAACAAAGUUCAUUAGAAGAUUGCAUAAUAGAACUCAAUAAACAUCCGCAUAGUUGAAAAGAAGCCUUGUACAACUUGCUAAAAAGUACUAAUGUACUUAUCCAUAGCUCACCCUUUUACUAAUAUGGAUUGAAGAGAACAAGUCAUUGCUGUAGCACCAAAAAUAUGUCUUGCCAAAGCCUAGAUGUCCAUGUAAAAGAACAUUUCACCAUGGUCCUGGAGGAGCUUGUGCAAAAAUGUUUUAUCAGCAAAUGUAAAAAUGAUAGACACAAAGAUCAAACAGGUUUAUUUAACAAGUUAACAUUACCCAUAUUAUUAGCAGAAAGAUAGAAAGAGAGAGAUGAGGAAAUGUGCAAUAGGUCAGCUGAAAGAAUAAACAAAAUCUAGUCUUCAGUGACACAAAGGUCCUCUUUCCUAACACCAGAAAUUGUAGAAUGCACAACUCGAUGCAGCUAAAUCUAGUCUUCAACAAAAUGGUGGCUUGACCAUAUCAACAAGUUUACUCCAAUAUCAAUUGUCUCCCAGCACGAAUUUCACACAUAAAUGGCUUAAUACUAGAAUGAAGAAAGCUAGUUCACAAAACACAUCGUGACUCAAGACUUGAAGCUUCUCCACUUCAGUUCAGAAGUAACCGGAAAAGCACCUCCAAUUCUUCGUGAAGGAAAUAACUAAAUCACCCAUAUUGCAUAAUAGGUAUCAACGAUUCACUCUUCCACUAACCAAGCAAUAAUUCAUUUAUUUCGGUCCUCAUAAAUCAUGAUUGUUCUCUACUAAUUUAGAAAAGCACUCCAUAAGAUGAGACUAGUACUCUCAAGUCUCAACCACCUCAGCCUUACAACAAAACCCAGCAUUUAUCAGCAUCUUUAGUGUGCUUACUAUCUAAAAGUUCCCUUCCACUUUAUCCAUUUUUUUUAAACAAAACAGGUGCCGUGAAGCAUGUCAAUCUGGACAUUAUGCUGGUGCGCAACAUAAACCAACUAGGUAUCACCAUCAUCAAUUAGGCAAGUCAAAGUAUCACAUGUUUAUGAUACAUGAAAGAGGAUUUUCCCUCAGAGACAAUAGGAUGGAUGAAUGCAAGAGGUGGUUCCAGAACCAAGAUGAAAGGUUAGCUAAAGGAAAACUCACAAAACAUGACACAACAGGACACACCAAAAAAUGAACUCUAGUUCUAUGGACUUACCAUCAUCGACUAUCUUUGCCAAUCAAAUGAUACAGAUCUUAUCCAUCUCUAUUGAACCUUGGGCAAUUAACGACCAAGAGUAGACAAGAUUUUGGCACACCUAGCACCCUCUCCGAUGAUUCACAUCCACAGAACCACAAAUGUUUUAGAUUCUGUAGAUUAGAAAGAUCAAAUUCGUUUAAGCUUUUGAUGGAAUUGCAUUCCAAGAAAUGCAAAUCCUGCAACAAUUUCAAUUCUCCUAAACCCUGAAUCUUAGUUAGCAGAGGCAAUCGUUGUAGAAACAAACACUGGAUCUCCUUCAGAGCAGGCAAACCGGGUAGCAUCUUGAGCAAUGGACAGUCGACCAUCACCAAUCCAUUGAAUUUCCGUAGCUCUCCAAGCGCCUCGAAUCGAAUCUCUCCCAGCGAAUAACUAGACAGCAGUGACAAAUUCUCCAAGUUGGAAAAGACUGACCAAUUUAUCGGUGACUGGACAUCGCAUAACGACAAAUAUUCAAGGCUGGAUGGGAGCCUGAUAAGAGAUUGGGGCUCAGCAUAAUUUAUGCUGAGGUAUUGUAGCUGAGAGAGGGAACUGAAAUUGGUUGGAGGCAAGGCCAUUUUUCCAAUGUGGAGGAUCAUUUCUUUCAGAGUAGGUAGUCUCACGAUCCCCUCUAUGUUGGGUUCUUCAAUUGAAUAUCCAAUUAUCUUAAUGUAAACUAAAUUGGUUAGGUUUGAGCAGUCGAGGAUCGUGGUCAGUGAAUCUGAUGUAAGGGUUAAAAACAUUAGACUCUUGGGAAGCUCUGGCAACUGUUGGAUUGAAUUACAGUGCCGUAAAUCAAGUCGUUGGAGAUUUGUAAGCUGAUUGAUCGUUGUGGGCAAUCCACUAAAGUGACCGUUGCAUAAGUGUAGAUAUUUCAAUGAGGAUAGUGCCCCGAUUUCACUUGGAAUUUCCCCCACCAGAUGUUUAGAGCAGGCAUCUAACUCUUCCAGAUUUUUCAACAUUCCUAUGGUCUUCGGAAGUUCACUUAUGCAACUAUCACCGAGACUUAGUACCUUCAACUUUGUGAGAUUUCCAAUACAAUCAGGUAAGCUCCCAAUUCUUGAAUCCCUCAAAUCCAACUUGACCAAUGAUUGGAGCCUCCCAAUCGAGUCUGGUAGCUUUUCUAGAUAGGAAUUCCGAAUGCGUAAAACUUUUAACCUUUCAAGAUUUCCAAUAGAAAGAGGUAAUUCACUGAUUUUUAGAUAUCGAACAUCUAAUUCAAGUAAUGAGUCCAAUUGUCCAAUAGAGUCGGGAAGCUUUUGAAGUUCCUUGCAUGGCAAGAUUAGGGACUUCACCUUUGCUAAAUUGCCAAUCGAGUAAGGCUUCAUUGAGGGUGUCCAUUCUAUUCUUAAAAUUGUCAAUUAUUUUAGAUUGCCGAUGGACUCUAGUGGUGAUUCAAUAGCUUCACUCUUUAUCUCUAGGUAAUCAAGAUGUUGUAGAUUGCCGAUGGACUUGUCAAUCUUUCUUAGUCGAACGCAUCUAAUAAUCAAUUUCUCUAGUUGCGAGAUUGUGGAGAACUUGGGCAUCUUUAUAAGGAAUGGACAAUCCUCGAGUUGUAGGAUUUUCAAUUGUUCUGCCACCUAUAAAGUAAUUGAGUAGACACUCAGAAAAGAGGAGUAAAUAAAAUGCAAAAUGAUGUUGUGAGAUCAUACCAUGAUUUGACACCAUCCUCCCCAAUCUUCGGUAACGUUAUUCCCAGAUAGCAUGAGAAUCGUUAAGUUCUUCAACCCAAGGUUGGUAGCUUGGAAUUUUGAAGGGCAAUUGCUCCAAGAGAGCCAUCUCAAAUUAAAGAAAACAUUCUUAAAGUCUCCUUCAAAGUUUCCGUGGUCCAAUUGAAGGAACCUAAGGUUGACCAAGCGCACAAAUUGCUUGUGCUUAAAUCUGUAUGUCUUAUUGGGAUUAGGUGUACCAAGAUUAAGCAUCACUAUGUCUCUGGUUCCCUGGAAAAUAAAAGUAACAACCAAUGAGUACAUAUGCAAGUUUGACUUGAAAUUAGAUAAAAAGGCGAUGGCGCUAAUGGAUGCACUAGACAACAUGUAGAGGUAAAGAUUACCGUUUCUAUUUGCACUACAUGAAAGGCAUCCUCGGGAGACCACAAUCUGCUACCCUUCAUAUGGAUUUCACCACUUUCUGGAUGGACGAUACUCCUUCCAAGGUCUCUAAGUUGGUCGUGCAUCCAUAGUUUAUUUUCAUUGGAUAUUUUUAUUAGAGACAUACGUUUGAGGAUAUUGACCUCACUUUCGGUUGGAUACCCAAAAAUUGCAUCCCAAUAUUUAACUGCAAUUGUUUUCUCUUUGUUGAAGUAGAAACAUGCGAUAUCAAGAAAAAUUUGCCGUUGAUUAAUGUCCAAUGCUUUGUAGCUUAUCAUCAGCUUCUUCUUGACAUCCUCAUUCAUCACCUUCUUUAACUUACAUAAGGCAUCUUCCCAUGUUCUUCGGCAUUUUCCGUGAAGUGUGGAACCUACAAUGUCGAGAGCCAACGGAAGUCCUCCAAGUGUAUCGAUUAACUUAUUUGCAAUAUCCAUGUAAUCAGUUGGAGGCUCGGCACAUUCCAAGGCACGCUCACAAAAAAGUUGAAAAGCAUCAUGCGAAGUCAUCUCUAGCAUAUUGUAGAAUGAAAAUUGUUCACUAAUAGAGGCUAGGACAUUGGCAUCCUCGCCUUCCUUUACUAGGAAUUCAAUAUUCCUAGCUGUUAUGAUGAUUCUACUACCCCCACCAAACUAGUUGGGCUCACCGGCAAGUCUCAUGAUUUGGUCUCGAUUGUCGACGUCAUCAAGAACAACAAGGACUUUCUUGUCAUGAAAUCUCAUCUUGAUCAUGUCAGCCCCUUCAUCAAUGAAGGAUAGGUUUGUGACAUCCAGAAUUUUCAGUAUUGUUUUCUAUUAAAUUAAUCGGGCAUUUCAUUGACGUGUCUAUAGGGUUGUUCUCAGAGCUGAUCACUCUCGAGAUAACUAGACUAGCUGGGUAUGCCAUUAAAGAAUAUUAAGGCAACAGACUUGAGAAUUCGACCAGGAAGCGGCUUCUCGACCGUGUUUAUCUUUAGAGGUCAUUACUACACAGUAAAGAUCGAAUUGAGAUCAGAGAUAGGUCGGUUCGACUGAGAUGUGUGGCCGAUCGUGGGUGACUCCACUAAAUUGGAAAAUUCUCGUCGACCGACACUAAUUUGAUUUUCUGUCGUUUUGGUACCCUGUGUUGGUAAUCGAGCCCUCGAGAUUUUCACGACAAUUGAGAGUCGCCAAUGUGUCGAGUGGGUUCAUUGUGGCUCGAAGAAAAUCGACCACGAGUCAAUUGCCCUAAAAAGUUCUGAAAACUACCCGGUAGUCUAGGUCACACUAAAAGCACGCCGGAGUGAAAUUAACCGUCGAUUUGAGUCAGAUUUCAGAAAUCGAAAGUUCAGUGAUGUCACAAGCUAUUUUAGGAACGUCAACUCAGUCUCAGAAAAUUUUUCGGAGAUCCCGAGAUUUUUACGGAAAUUGGGUUCGGACGUCGUGGAAGUUUGGCCGAAGUUCGGAUUGGCUAAAUUAAUGGGAAAUUUGACUUUCGGGUUGAGCCGUUGUGUGUCGGGGAAUUAUAGAAAAUCAUUUGGGAUUUUUCUACAUCAAAAUUGGACCUCAAUUUGGAGAGAAUGGUUGUGCAAGUUAAGCCAUCUCUCCCAAAUUCGUGUACCCCCACCUAGCCACAACCUUUGGACCACUUGGUCUUCUAGAAGAGAGUGUUUUGAUGGCCUAUUGAAGGCCAAGUAUUCUUACAUGGCCAAGAUUGAUUUUGGAAGAUAUUUUGUGAAAUAUCCAACCAAGUGGAGCCCAACUCUUCCUCAUCCUCUCCAUCUUGCUGCCGUGAACUACCUCUCUCACUCCUUUCCAUUUUUCUCUGGCGUGCGACACUUCCAGCAGCAAUUGAAGAAGACCCGGCUGCUUCCUUCGAAAUUUUCCAAGCGUCCACCAAGCUGCCCGAGAAGCUCAGCAUCUGCCGAAUUCUCCACGCUUCUCCAUCGAAAUCUUCAACGCCAGCCUCCACCAAAAACCAGCCACCGGCAGUCCAGCGAAACUGCCCCUCAUCCGCUGCCACUUGCCCGCUUCUCUUUCUACUUCGGUCAACAAGCGAACCGGCGAAGCCUUGAAGACCGAAGCUCCACCGAACGAAGACUCCACCGAGUGAAGCCUCCACCGAAGUCCCCACGCCUCUGCCGUCCGCACGCCACACGUCUUCGUCAGUCAAUCCGCAAAGACGAUUGACCGAACCCAGCGAAGUCUUCAUCUUGUUCGGUCAGUCCCAGCUUGAGUCUUUCAUCGAGUAGAUUCCAGCAACUUCUUCGUGCGAUUCCUCAGCUCCACGCCAGCACGCCCACAUCUCGGUCAACAUCUCCUUCCACUGAAGAAGCCGCACGUCCGUGGACUUCAGCGACUUGAAGACCUCGGCGAAGUCCACGUUUCUCUUCUUGGCCGCGCGUCUUCAACAUCUUCAACUCCCCCAGCGCCAGCUCACUUCACGGGUCAACGAAGCAGCUCCAUCCUCUCGGUUGUUGACCGCCAAGCGUCCACGAAGCUACUCCAUCGUCCGCACGUCUCGGCCCAGCGAAGCCAGCGAGAUCUGCAAGCUUCAGUCAGUCCAAAUUCAGCCCAGCAGUUGGGCCAUUGAAGCCCAUGAAUUGAUUUCGAUAGAACCAGCAGCUUCUUUGGGCCUUCUUAUUCAGCCAUGAAGCCUGCGAAGUCUUUGUCCAGCAGCCCAUCAACAGAAUUUUACUGAGGCCCAUCUCCUGCAGUCUUCAAGCCCAGUCCAGUCCAUGUGAGUUAAUUGGCCAAGCCCAAUUUCCAGCAAAGAAAUUUGAAGCCCAAGUGAAGUCAGUCCAGAAAUUUCAGCAGGCCCAAUUCAACUUGGGUCUGGCCCAAAAGCAAGAAACAAAUCUCAGUUGGGCUGAGAUUUGUUGGGGCCAAGUCCAAGGCCCGGUCCAAGUACGCCGGUGUCGUCGAAAGUCCGAUUUCGGCCGCCGUCGCGUCGCCGUUGCGGUGAUUCGGUCUCCGCUUUUGUCAAGUGAGUUUUACUCACUAAAGCUUUAUUAGUUUGCUAAUUAUGUCUUAGGGUUGGUUAGAUUUAAUUACAUGCACAUAGGUGGUUAGAUUAGGUUAGAACAAUUAAAUUAGUGACUUGAGGAUGCAUGUUAGGUGGUUAGACCUAGCUAUUAGCAAGUAGAAAUGUUUGGUUAUUUAUUAAAUGUAUCUCGGGAUUUUUCCCGACCCGUUUCGGGCUCCAAUAAGGCAAUAUAGGCCUAAAUUGGAUUUUUAAUGUUUAUUUAUUUAUUUUCGAAAUUUAUUUAUUUAAUUAAUUAUUUUUCCGGAAAUUCAACCGGGAUGGCCGGUGACCGGAAUUUCGUGCCGAUUGUCGUGGUGCAGACCGUUUAUUUAUUUGAGCUCUACGUUGAGUGGAAUUGAAUUUAUUGUGGAAUUUUAGGAAUUGUCCUAAAUUGUUUGUUAUUGAAUAUUUGAUUGGUAAUGGCCAAGCAUGGGUAUAUAGCGCCAGUACGUUGAUGGGCUAUAUAGUAGGGAGAAUGGUGAGACCAAUCAGGUACGAUAUUAUUGGACAUACGUGGUUCGGUGAUUGGAAGUAUCACUGGCGAAAACGGCGCCUUAAAGAACGCACGUAAAUGACUUAUAGACACAUGUGGUUCGGUGAUUAUGGGAAUAUCACUGGUGAAAACGGCGCCUUAAAGAACGCACGAUGUUGUCUAUAGCCGAUGUCACCUUGGCGAAAACGGCGCCCUUGAAAGGACACGUGGUUCGGUGAUCAAGGUUAUCACUGGUGAAAACGACGCCUUAAAGAACGCACGGUGUCGGUGAUCGGUAUGUCAUUGGCGAAAACGACGCCCGAGAAACACAUGUGAUUUGGUGAAUGAGUACACCACUGAGAAAGCAUGGUAUGAGUGGGAAUGACCUAGAAAGGGUCUGGCUGACAUGUAAUCGACUUAGUCGAUUGAUCAAUGCUUGAUCGGAUGUCGUGAAUUGUUUGAAUAUCUGUGUUUAACCUUGAAUUGCAGGUUGGAACUGAGGCCAAGGUAAGUCCUCUGACUCGUGUUGUGCUUAGGCAACCGGAUGGCGUAUUAGUUUAUUAAUCGAGUCUUAGUGGGUAGGACUCGCUGAGACGUGGUCUCAUUGGUUAUUGAAUAACCAUUUCAGGACCCUGAGGAGAAGCUAAGGAAGGGGAACCUGAAGGGGAGAAAGACUUUUUUUGAAGAAGAAGAUGAUCCAGAGAGGGAUCUUGAAUGUAACCCGGAUGUGGAUUGAGAUCCCAUCCCUUUUGUGAACCCUGUCUUGGUAUAGAUAGGUGUGAGACUUUUAUGCUGUAAAUAGUAUUGUAAAUAUACUAUGAGUGGUGCUGUUAAUGAAAGUGUGGUUGUGAAUUUCAAUAGGAAAAAUAUGGCCUGCUUUCCUAUCCCAUUGUUUUAUUGUCUGGGGAUUUAUAACUGCUUCCGCAUGUGCUUAAUAAAAAGAAAGGGUCGGCGAUACAUAGUCCUGGGAUAUCGCAUUCUAAAAUCGACCAAGCAGAGAAGGAUGUGCACGCGUCCGAGGAUCGGGCCGUGACAUCCCCUUUUUGUGGUAUCAGAGCGAAGUUCAAGAUUGGAGUGAUAAGGAGCGUUGACCAUGGGAUAGUUAGUAGGAAAGGCCUUUAAAUUCAUGCUGGUGCAUGUUUAUGUUAGCUGAAUGCUAAAAUUGUUUGUGGUGUGUGGAUCGCUCACCUUCUAAUCCAGUGUGGGUUUGGAAGUCGGGUUGCAGUGUAAAGACUGAACCAUGAGCGAGCAGGAGAUGAGAACUCCUAGUAAGAGGACAAUGUCCUUUGUAACUCGGGAUGAUGCACUGACUAAGGUCAGUACCCGAGGUGGCUGUGGCAGAGUGUUGACUCUGGCCAGCUCGAGUGUAAGAGUACCACUGCAGGUUGGUACUAGUGUAGCAGCGUCGAAUGAUCCUAAGUUCGAUAGGAUCGUUCUGAUGCAAGUGUUCCUUGGGUUCUGGAUGAGCCAGUAAGAUCAAGAUCAAGUUAUUGUUGUUGCCACCUUUGCUGAGGUUCAACCUGGAGGGAUGAUCAGGGAAUAGAUUUUGAUAUCUGAGUCAAGAUUCAGUGCAGGCAGACUUGGAAUUUGGUUAGGGAAAAGACUGAUGUUGAGAGAAGAGUAUUCUAUUCCACUUAAUAGGAAGGGUGGAAUAGUCAGGUCAACAUUCAGACAAAUGGAACUUAUUGUUCCAUGGAAGAUGGUAUGGAUCAGUCUUGUUUAUUCUGAGGACGGGAAUUCGUGGUAAGUGUCGCCAGCAUGGAUAGCGAGUUAUGGGUUGUCCGCAUAAGUAGAUGAAAGCUCGACAACGGUUACUGCUGUCACCGUUGAUAAGACAGGUCAGAAAAGGUGCUUCAUAGAAUGCACUAUGGAAUUUUGGGAUAGGUCUCCGAUGCAAGAAAUAGUGCACGCUAGCACUUGAUAGGAGAUAGAAGACACACCAGUUAGGUGUCAGAGUUGUAGAAGGAAGUAUGGAUAAAUCCAGUGUCCGAGUGUGACUAGAACAUGUUGUGAUGAUGACUAGCAUGGCCAUCAGGUGAAGGAUUGUCAGUGGAAGCCCAAGGUAGCAUAGGCAUCGCUACUGCGUAGAACACCACUAGGAUGGCGAAAGGAAUGGGAGUAGAAUUGAUCUUGCACCGAUUAGAGAAAGAAUGUAUUGGAGGUGAUUUUAUCAGAGUAACGUAGCAGAGUUUUGUGCUGAGUUCGUAGAACUUAAAUUGUUGAAGUAAAAGUGAAAGAGAAGGGAAUCCCUAGCAAUAGUUGUGCUUCACUAGUUGCUGAGGUGUGAGUUCAACGCCACAUGAAUAGUGUGAGUUCAUAAAGUAUCUUGUAAUAAGGAAUCAUGGUCAUGGAAUAACCCAGUUUAGUCUAUUAGUUUGCAAAAAUAGCACUAUUAUUAAGAGUCGAAAAGAAUCUUUGAUUUCAUUAAUCUCGUUGGCUAAAGACAAUCCGUUUGUUAGACGGAGGUUGCCAAGAUUGAUUUGACAACUGUAGUGGAUGUGUCAGUUGAGAAAUAGAAUGAGAAGAAGGUGGCCGUGAUACAAAAAAAAAAAAAAAAAAUUUCUAAGAUGAUUCCAAAGGAAUUGCUUGGGUUACCGCCAGAAAGAGAUUGAAAUUGCAAUUGAGAUAGCACCAGGAUAGAGCCACUCUCGAAGGCUUCUUACCAGCUGUUGUUGUUUGAAGUGGUAGAAUUGAAGAUGCAGAUGUGAAGAUUGAUGAAUGAGGAAUUCGUGUAUAUCGGUGCAUCACUUUUGGGAAACAUCAGUUUUGUUUGUGAGAAGAAGAAAGAUGGUUGUUGCGAGUGUGCAUCGACCAUAGUCCACUCAAUUAGGUGAAGAUCAAGGACAAGUGUUCUUUGCCAAAGAUCCAUGAAUGGUGUGACUAGUUAUAAAGAGUAUCGAUGUUUUAAAGGUCGACUUGAGAUUAUAAAGUCAUUAGUUACGAACCAGGAAGGAGGUUGUACGAAAGACAGCUGUUUGUACUUGAUAUGGUCUUUACGAGAGUAUUGUAAGAUCGUUUGGCGUGGUGAACACUCCAGUUUCUGUCAUGGAUUUGACAAUCAGAACGUUCAAUGAAUAAGUAGAUCAUCAGUUUGUGAUUGUGUUUGUUGAUGACAUCUUAGUCUAUUCGAGCAGUGAUGAAGAGCAUGAGAAUCAUCUGAGAUUAGUGCUUCAGACCUUAAGAACUCAUCACCUAUAUGCUAAGUUUAGCAAAUGCGAGUUUGAUUGACUCGUGUUGCGUUCUUAGGUCAUGUAAUUUCCUGGGAAGGAAUCUCUGUCGACCCAAGCAAGAUAGAAGCCGUGAUCAAUUGGCAGAGACCGACAUCAGUGACAGAAAUCAGAAGUUUUCUAGGGGUUAGCAGGUUAUUACAGAUGGUUUGUGGAAGGAUUCUCAUCGAUAGCAUCGCCUCUGACAAAGCUCCCGAAGAAAAUGAGAAGUUCAUAUGGUCAGACCAAGUGCGAGUGUAGUUUCCAAGAGCUGAAGGAAAAGCUGACUACCGUACCCCGUGCUGACGAUUCCCAUCUGGUCCCUGGAGGGAUUCGAGAUCUAUAGUGAUGCGUCAUUCAGGGGAUUAGGUUGCGUGCUGAUGCAACAUGGCAGAGUUGUUGCAUACGCUUCCAGACAGUUGAGAUCUCAUGAAUUGAACUAUCCGACGCGUGACUUAGAGCUCGCCGCGAUUAUCUUUGCCUUGAAGAUUUGGAGACACUACUUGUGCGGGGAAAAGUUUCAAAUCUUCACAAACCAUCAAAGUCUCAAGUAUUUAUUCUCUCAGAAGGAGUUGAACAUGAGACAACGCAGAUGGAUGGAAUUGCUGAAAGACUACGAUUGUGAUAUUUUAUAUCACCCAGGAAAGGCGAACAGGGUCGCCGAUGCUUUAAGUCGAAAGUCUUCAGUGGCUCAUAUACUGAUUAAGGAGUGGAACUUAAUCGAGAGAGAGCUCGAGGUUCGGUAUUCAAAUUUGAGGUAGGCCGCCUUUCAAGUUUUAUGGCUGCCCUCAGAAUUGAACCGGAUGUCCGAGUUAGAAUCAAACAACUCCAACCGACAGAUCCAGAUGUACAGAGAAUUCUUCAGGAAGACGCAGAGAAAAGAAAGGCUGAUUUUCAGAUUUCUGAUGACGGGACACUAAGAUUCCAAGGACGUUUGGUUGUACCUGAUGAUGUAGAGCUUAGAGAAGAAAUUUUAUCUGAAGCACAUCGUAGCAGUUACAGCAUUCAUCCUGGAAGUACUAAGAUGUAUCAGAAAUUGCGUCAACACUACUGGUGGUCAGGUAUGAAGGCAGACAUCGCCAAGUAUGUGGCCAAGUGUUUGACUUGUCAGCAAGUAAAAGCCCAGCAUUGCAAGCCGGGAUGACUUUUGCAACCUCUCGUGAUCCCAUAGUGGAAAUGGGAACAUAUCACGAUGGACUUUGUGACUGGACUACCAAGGAAUCAGAGGGGGAAUGAUUCGAUGUGGGUAGUAGUCGAUAGGCUGACAAAGUCGGCUCACUUCAUUGCAGUUCGAAAGGACCUGAGUCUAGAUAGACACGCAGACCUGUAUGUGCGUCAGGUGGUUCGAAUGCAUGGAGUGCCGGUUACGAUAACAUAUGAUAGAGACCCGAGAUUUACUGCUGCAUUUUGGAAGAGCUUGCAGAGUACUCUUGGUACAAAGCUUCAGUACAGUACGGCAUAUCAUCCUCAGACGGAUGGCCAGUCCGAGAGGACAAUUCAGACCCUUGAGGACAUGCUGAGAGCAUGUGUUAUAGACUUCAAAGGAAGUUGGGAAGAUCAGCUUCAUUUGGUAGAAUUCGCCUACAACAACAGUUAUCAGCAGAGUAUUCAGAUGGCUCCAUUUGAAGCGCUGUAUGGCAGAGCAUGCAGAACACCAGUAUGUUGGGAUGAAGUCGGGGAAAGAAAGAUAACAGGCCCAGAGUUGGUUCAGCAGUCAGUAGAUGCCGUGACAGUGAUCAGAGACAGAUUAAAGACAGCGCAGAGCAGGCAGAAAAGUUAUGCAGAUAAGCGCCGGAGGUCUUUGGAAUUCCAAGUUGGUGAUCACGUUUUUCUGAAGGUGUCACCAAUGAGGGGAACUUUGCGCUUUGGUAAGAAAGGCAAACUGAGUCCGAGGUACGUAGGUCCGUUUGAGAUUCUUGAGAGAAUCGGGACCUUAGCGUAUCGUCUUGCGUUGCCGCCAAGAUUGGCGCAAGUGCAUGACGUCUUUCACGUGUCGAUGUUGAGGAAGUACGAGCCUGACUCGACCCACGUACUCAAUUUUGAAGAAUUGGACGUGGAUGACCGUGUGUCAUACGUCGAAAGACCGGUCCAGAUUGUCAAUUGCAAAGAGCAAGUUCUGCGUACAAAGACUAUUCCCUUAGUCAAAGUGGUCUGACAACACCACGGUACAGAAGGAGCAACAUGGGAGACUGAGGAGUCAAUGAGAGAAUUGUACCCCCACCUUUUUAAUCAAGUCUUGUAAGGUUUAAAUUUCGAGGACGAAAUUUUUAUAAGAGGGGAAGAGUUGUGACAUCCAGAAUUUUCAGUAUUGUUUUCUAUUAAAUUAAUCGGGCAUUUCAUUGACGUGUCUAUAGGGUUGUUCUCAGAGCUGAUCACUCUCGAGAUAACUAGACUAGCUGGGUAUGCCAUUAAAGAAUAUUAAGGCAACAGACUUGAGAAUUCGACCAGGAAGCGGCUUCUCGACCGUGUUUAUCUUUAGAGGUCAUUACUACACAGUAAAGAUCGAAUUGAGAUCAGAGAUAGGUCGGUUCGACUGAGAUGUGUGGCCGAUCGUGGGUGACUCCACUAAAUUGGAAAAUUCUCGUCGACCGACACUAAUUUGAUUUUCUGUCGUUUUGGUACCCUGUGUUGGUAAUCGAGCCCUCGAGAUUUUCACGACAAUUGAGAGUCGCCAAUGUGUCGAGUGGGUUCAUUGUGGCUCGAAGAAAAUCGACCACGAGUCAAUUGCCCUAAAAAGUUCUGAAAACUACCCGGUAGUCUAGGUCACACUAAAAGCACGCCGGAGUGAAAUUAACCGUCGAUUUGAGUCAGAUUUCAGAAAUCGAAAGUUCAGUGAUGUCACAAGCUAUUUUAGGAACGUCAACUCAGUCUCAGAAAAUUUUUCGGAGAUCCCGAGNNNNNNNNNNNNNNNNNNNNNNNNNNNNNNNNNNNNNNNNNNNNNNNNNNNNNNNNNNNNNNNNNNNNNNNNNNNNNNNNNNNNNNNNNNNNNNNNNNNNCCGAGAUUUUUACGGAAUUGGGUUCGGACGUCGUGGAAGUUUGGCCGAAGUUCGGAUUGGCUAAAUUAAUGGGAAAUUUGACUUUCGGGUUGAGCCGUUGUGUGUCGGGGAAUUAUAGAAAAUCAUUUGGGAUUUUUCUACAUCAAAAUUGGACCUCAAUUUGGAGAGAAUGGUUGUGCAAGUUAAGCCAUCUCUCCCAAAUUCGUGUACCCCCACCUAGCCACAACCUUUGGACCACUUGGUCUUCUAGAAGAGAGUGUUUUGAUGGCCUAUUGAAGGCCAAGUAUUCUUACAUGGCCAAGAUUGAUUUUGGAAGAUAUUUUGUGAAAUAUCCAACCAAGUGGAGCCCAACUCUUCCUCAUCCUCUCCAUCUUGCUGCCGUGAACUACCUCUCUCACUCCUUUCCAUUUUUCUCUGGCGUGCGACACUUCCAGCAGCAAUUGAAGAAGACCCGGCUGCUUCCUUCGAAAUUUUCCAAGCGUCCACCAAGCUGCCCGAGAAGCUCAGCAUCUGCCGAAUUCUCCACGCUUCUCCAUCGAAAUCUUCAACGCCAGCCUCCACCAAAAACCAGCCACCGGCAGUCCAGCGAAACUGCCCCUCAUCCGCUGCCACUUGCCCGCUUCUCUUUCUACUUCGGUCAACAAGCGAACCGGCGAAGCCUUGAAGACCGAAGCUCCACCGAACGAAGACUCCACCGAGUGAAGCCUCCACCGAAGUCCCCACGCCUCUGCCGUCCGCACGCCACACGUCUUCGUCAGUCAAUCCGCAAAGACGAUUGACCGAACCCAGCGAAGUCUUCAUCUUGUUCGGUCAGUCCCAGCUUGAGUCUUUCAUCGAGUAGAUUCCAGCAACUUCUUCGUGCGAUUCCUCAGCUCCACGCCAGCACGCCCACAUCUCGGUCAACAUCUCCUUCCACUGAAGAAGCCGCACGUCCGUGGACUUCAGCGACUUGAAGACCUCGGCGAAGUCCACGUUUCUCUUCUUGGCCGCGCGUCUUCAACAUCUUCAACUCCCCCAGCGCCAGCUCACUUCACGGGUCAACGAAGCAGCUCCAUCCUCUCGGUUGUUGACCGCCAAGCGUCCACGAAGCUACUCCAUCGUCCGCACGUCUCGGCCCAGCGAAGCCAGCGAGAUCUGCAAGCUUCAGUCAGUCCAAAUUCAGCCCAGCAGUUGGGCCAUUGAAGCCCAUGAAUUGAUUUCGAUAGAACCAGCAGCUUCUUUGGGCCUUCUUAUUCAGCCAUGAAGCCUGCGAAGUCUUUGUCCAGCAGCCCAUCAACAGAAUUUUACUGAGGCCCAUCUCCUGCAGUCUUCAAGCCCAGUCCAGUCCAUGUGAGUUAAUUGGCCAAGCCCAAUUUCCAGCAAAGAAAUUUGAAGCCCAAGUGAAGUCAGUCCAGAAAUUUCAGCAGGCCCAAUUCAACUUGGGUCUGGCCCAAAAGCAAGAAACAAAUCUCAGUUGGGCUGAGAUUUGUUGGGGCCAAGUCCAAGGCCCGGUCCAAGUACGCCGGUGUCGUCGAAAGUCCGAUUUCGGCCGCCGUCGCGUCGCCGUUGCGGUGAUUCGGUCUCCGCUUUUGUCAAGUGAGUUUUACUCACUAAAGCUUUAUUAGUUUGCUAAUUAUGUCUUAGGGUUGGUUAGAUUUAAUUACAUGCACAUAGGUGGUUAGAUUAGGUUAGAACAAUUAAAUUAGUGACUUGAGGAUGCAUGUUAGGUGGUUAGACCUAGCUAUUAGCAAGUAGAAAUGUUUGGUUAUUUAUUAAAUGUAUCUCGGGAUUUUUCCCGACCCGUUUCGGGCUCCAAUAAGGCAAUAUAGGCCUAAAUUGGAUUUUUAAUGUUUAUUUAUUUAUUUUCGAAAUUUAUUUAUUUAAUUAAUUAUUUUUCCGGAAAUUCAACCGGGAUGGCCGGUGACCGGAAUUUCGUGCCGAUUGUCGUGGUGCAGACCGUUUAUUUAUUUGAGCUCUACGUUGAGUGGAAUUGAAUUUAUUGUGGAAUUUUAGGAAUUGUCCUAAAUUGUUUGUUAUUGAAUAUUUGAUUGGUAAUGGCCAAGCAUGGGUAUAUAGCGCCAGUACGUUGAUGGGCUAUAUAGUAGGGAGAAUGGUGAGACCAAUCAGGUACGAUAUUAUUGGACAUACGUGGUUCGGUGAUUGGAAGUAUCACUGGCGAAAACGGCGCCUUAAAGAACGCACGUAAAUGACUUAUAGACACAUGUGGUUCGGUGAUUAUGGGAAUAUCACUGGUGAAAACGGCGCCUUAAAGAACGCACGAUGUUGUCUAUAGCCGAUGUCACCUUGGCGAAAACGGCGCCCUUGAAAGGACACGUGGUUCGGUGAUCAAGGUUAUCACUGGUGAAAACGGCGCCUUAAAGAACGCACGGUGUCGGUGAUCGGUAUGUCAUUGGCGAAAACGACGCCCGAGAAACACAUGUGAUUUGGUGAAUGAGUACACCACUGAGAAAGCAUGGUAUGAGUGGGAAUGACCUAGAAAGGGUCUGGCUGACAUGUAAUCGACUUAGUCGAUUGAUCAAUGCUUGAUCGGAUGUCGUGAAUUGUUUGAAUAUCUGUGUUUAACCUUGAAUUGCAGGUUGGAACUGAGGCCAAGGUAAGUCCUCUGACUCGUGUUGUGCUUAGGCAACCGGAUGGCGUAUUAGUUUAUUAAUCGAGUCUUAGUGGGUAGGACUCGCUGAGACGUGGUCUCAUUGGUUAUUGAAUAACCAUUUCAGGACCCUGAGGAGAAGCUAAGGAAGGGGAACCUGAAGGGGAGAAAGACUUUUUUUGAAGAAGAAGAUGAUCCAGAGAGGGAUCUUGAAUGUAACCCGGAUGUGGAUUGAGAUCCCAUCCCUUUUGUGAACCCUGUCUUGGUAUAGAUAGGUGUGAGACUUUUAUGCUGUAAAUAGUAUUGUAAAUAUACUAUGAGUGGUGCUGUUAAUGAAAGUGUGGUUGUGAAUUUCAAUAGGAAAAAUAUGGCAUGCUUUCCUAUCCCAUUGUUUUAUUGUCUGGGGAUUUAUAACUGCUUCCGCAUGUGCUUAAUAAAAAGAAAGGGUCGGCGAUACAUAGUCCUGGGAUAUCGCAUUCUAAAAUCGACCAAGCAGAGAAGGAUGUGCACGCGUCCGAGGAUCGGGGCGUGACAAGGUUUGUGCAACUCAAAUGGAAAAUGUCGGACAACAAUUUCUUUUGUAAAUUUAUUAUAUCAUGAGUCUGAACAUCCUUAAGAAAGCAGCAAUAUCUCUGAAACUGAUGGGAGAUUUGUUUGAAGACAGCCUCAGCUAGUGUCGUCUUUCCAAUGCCACCCAUACCAUAAAUCACAAUAAACUGUACAUCAAAAGCUUCUAGAUCUAAUUGCUUCAUAAUCUCAUCCAUUCGAUCUUUAAUUCCCACCAAAUGAUCAGGCACAUCUGUCCUUCUUGUCCAUAACAGACUUGAAACCUCUUUGACUAUGAGAUUCAUAAGUUCAUAUAGGCUGCCACAUGCAUAACAUGCAAUCUCAGAUUGAAAAACCAUAUAUAUGGAAACUGUGCACACAUUACGUGGUAGUAGAUGUGACAUCCUAAAAUUCGACCCCAUUUCAAUAAAAUGAAAUGUGCAUUUCGUCGACGUGCCUAUGAUCCUUUUUCUCUGAGUUGUUCACUCACGAGUUAGCUAACCUAUUGGGUGAAGCCGUUAAAUAACCGCGGUAAAAUCCCUAAAAGCUACCUAAAUUGGUUGGAUUGGACUAAAAUCACGUCCAAUCGAUUUUAAUCAUGAAAUUUAAUUCGGUUUUGGGAAUCGAAUAUUCGAGCGUGUCACAAUUCAUUUUUAGGAUCGUCUCAUCGUAUAUCAAUUUAUUGUCGAGUCUGAAAUUUCAAGAAAGAAAUUAUCAGAAGAAAAAUUGAAGACCAAAAGAAAUUAGAAAGGGAAAGAGAAAAGAAAAAUAAGAAAGAUAUGAUUUUUUGAAUUUCUUUUCUCUCUCUCCCUUCUCUCUCUCUCUUUUUCUCUCUCUCUUCUCUCUCCUCUCCCCUCCCCCUCGUGCGAAAACCCUCCCCACCGACCGCCCCCUGCUGUCUUCCCUUUUGCUUUCUUUUAUUUUAUUCUUUUUGAUCGGUCAAAUCUCUCUCUCAUCUCUCAUCUCUCUCUCUCUCUCUCUCUCUCUCUCUCUCUCGUCACUCUUUCUUCUUCCUUCUUCUCCGUGCAAGCGAACAGAACUAGAAGCUGAAGAAGAUCAGAAGUAGCAGCAGCCACCGUCGCCGCUUGUCUCGCCGCCGCACCGCAUGCCCGCGCACGCCGCACGUCCGCCGUUUGACGCGCCACCCGUGCGCCACCUGUGCUUGCCGUCCCUGCCGUGCGACCCAGCCUCUGUUCGGCCACUGUUCAGCCACCGAGAGCGGCUAAGUAGGCCGCCGGAGCUGCCGUCUGGCCUCACUGGAGCUCCACCCGCUCUCCCGACCUCUUGCCGCCCCCACCCCUCUCUCUUUCUCUCUGUUUUGCAGCCGGUCCAGCAAACCCGCGAGUGGGUUUCCAGCUAGUUCGUGGUUGGUUUUGGGCCGUUUCCGGGCCCCGAACCCGAGCCGUGCUUUGGGAAGAAUCAUUCCUCGCGUCGCCCCCGUCGGAUUGAUCCGAUUUGCACGUGAUUUGGUGAGUAAUCUCACUAAUCCCGGAUUAGUUGGCUAAUUAUGCUUGAGGUUGGUUUAAUGUUAAUUAAUUAGGUUUAGGUGGUUAGAUUAGAAUAAAUUAGCAAUUAUUAGUCAAUUGUGAUGCGUUUUAGAUAAAUUGAUUGCGCAAUUAGCAAGUAGACGUGGUCUACUAAUUAUUGGAAGUGCCUCGGGAUUUUUCCCGACCCUUAGUGGGCUCCAAUUAGGCUUUUCGGGCCUAAGUGGAAUUUUUGGUAUUUAAAUAUUAAUUUUCGGAAUUAAAUUAAAUAAUUAUUUAUUUUCCGAAAAUUCAACUGAGAUGGUCUGGAACCGGAAAAUUAUGCUGAUGAUCGUGGUGGAGUCCGUUUGUUUAAUCGGGCUUUAUUUUGAGCUAAAUUGAAUUUUUAAUAUUAAUUAUUUAAUUUUUAAUAUUAAUUAUUUAAUUUUCAAAAUUAAUUGAUUAUUUAUUUAUUUUCCAAAAAUUCAAUUGAGAUGGCUAAUGACCAGAAUAUUAUGCUGAUGACAGUGGUGAAGUCCGUUUAUUUAAUUGGGCUUUAUUUUGUGUUAAAUUGAAUUUUUAAUAUUUAUUAAUUAAUUAUUUUUCGGAAAUUAAGAUUUUGAUGGCCAACGACCAAAUUCCCGUGCUGAUUGUCGUGGCGUAGUUCGUUUAUUUAAUUGAGCUCUAUGUUGCAUGGAAUUAAAUAAAUUGUGAUAUUUUAGGGAUUUACCCUAAAUUGGUUGAAAUUGAAUUAUUGAUUAGUAGUUGGCUGAGUAUGGCUAUUUAGCAUUUUGAGUGCCUUGUUGAGCUUUAAGUGGAGAGAGUGGUGAGAACUAACUGAGAAUUCUAUUAGCUGAGACCGAUCAAGUACGAAGUAUAGACAAGCGUGGUUCGGUGAUAAAGUAUAUCACUGUGCGAAAACCGCGCCUUAAAGAAUGCACGAAGACUGUCUAUGACUUAUGGCAGGCAUGGUUCGGUGAUUAUGGAGAUCACUGUGCGAAAACGGCGUCUUAAAGAACACACGUAGGCUGUCUGUGAUCUAUGACGGGCAUGGUUCAGUGAUGAGGAAUAUCACUGUGCGAAAACGGCGCCUUAAAGAAUGCAUGUAGACUGUCUGUUAUUUACGUCACCUUGGCGAACUUGACGCUUGAGAGCAUUGAUGUGGCUCUGUGACCGAGUGCCGAAUGGAGAUCGUAUGGCGUGGAAUCAAUGACCUAGAAUGAGUGCCUAUUGUAAAUUAUGCUGACUUGCAGGUGGGAUCUGAGGCCAAGGUAAGUCCUCUGCUCUGUGCAUGUUUAGGCAGCCUGUAGUAUAAUAGUUUACUAAUCUGGCCUUAGUGGGGUAGAACUCACUGAGACGUAGUCUCAUUCCGGUUUGGGGAAAUCAUUUCAGGACCCCGCUGAGGAGCUGAGGAGGAGGAGUCUGAGAAGGAUUUUUGGAAGAAGAAGAUAAUCCCGAGAGGGGCC